UCGCGCUGUAGGCGAGAAAACGAACGAUCCCGCGCUCCACAGCCUGCCUUUCGCCGCCCUAUUAUCCCCCGACCCCCAUCACUCCUCUCUCCCGCCGUCGGCGUCCACCAUUCUCAGUUUCUCACCGGCCUUCUCCUCCUCUCACGCACGCAGCCACGUUGGCUCCGUUCCACGCGCACGCAUGCAUCAAUUUCUCUGACGCAACUCCGGCCUUUUCUGCCAAGCGCCGUCCGCCUCGGCAGCAGAGCGCUCAGGCCGUUCGGCGGAAUGCCGACCCGGAUGUAUUUUCUUGGACCAUCCUCGAGUCCGCGACGGUUGCCUUCCAGAGUCCGGGUGGGAUCCUAGUUUUGAUGCAUAUAUGUAUAUGCCGGAGGAGCGAGCUACAUUACGUUGCAAGGCCGCCUGCAUCCUCCUACAUGGAAAAGCCGUCUUCUGAAAAAAACAGUUGGUAAAGAUAUGCAAAAUAUUCAGCCGGAGAGAUGUUGCAUGGGGAGAUCAUUUCCGAAAGGUGCUUGCGAUCUAGAGCAAACAUGGGUGUCUCAAUCAGUGUGUGGAUAAACGCAAGUGGAGGGCAAGAAGAAGUGCAAAUAUGUAUUGAAUGAGCGCGGUAGAUGGUUGACCUGCUGGAGUGAUGGGUAUCUGUUCUCGGUUCCAUCCUCUUGACCUGAAGCAUGAACUUCCUUAUCAGUUAUCAUGCGUGCGAGCUUCGGCUGAUGGAUACAUUUGCUGUUCUUUUUCCAUUCUUCUGGCUCCACCGGCGCACUAUUAUUUGUGAACCAUGGACUGUGGUUUUCAUCUGAAUUUGGAAGCUGUUCAAAGUAAACUGGGUAGCGUGUGAGCCCUGGCACUGGAAGGCCGGCUGGUUAUCACUUGGCUCUGAUGCUUGUGGUUGUGGAAGUGCUUGAGCUGUGUGGAAUAAUUUUUCCAUACUUUAGUUGAAUACACUUGGUGUUGUUUUUUUGCGGGAGUUGAAUAAUUGAUCUUGUUUUUUGUGGGAGUUGAAUAAUUGAUGUUAAGAAUCAUAUUUGUUUUCUAGUAGUACUACGCCUA